CUCUUCUCCACCUCAUCCACAGGAGUCCAGGACAUGUCAGGCUGAAGCUUGAAUGCGCCAAGAAACGGAUGAGGGCAGCUUGGUCCCCACUCCUUCAAAGGAAAUUGGAAAACAGGAAACGCAUUGGGGUGUCGCGUCUGUAACUUAGCAACAACUGAACCGAUGACUUCACAUCCUUUGUCGGCAACAGCUGGGGGUGAAAUGUAAGCGGCUGCUAAAACAACAAUGAACUCUCCUGUGGCCCCCCGUCAGCAGCCGCGGGCUCGGAACCCUGAUAACUUCAUAAUAUCUGGGUUCCGAGUGGACAUGUGGAGUCAGAACAGCUGGGAGUCAAUGGUGAUCCAGGCUUGUGUAACCACUCUGUCACCGCCUUCCGAAGACACGCUCAUGUAAUGUAUACCUACUGACAGUUUGGCUACACGAAAAAUAACAUCAGCAAUUACCAAACACCAAAUAUUAUACAGUAAGAAUACGACGACGCGGACUGAUAUCUCUUUUUUUUUCUCUUCUUUUUUUUUUUUUAAGAUUCGGCGCAGAAUAAAUGUUUUCGUCAUGUUUCGCACUAGGUGAGUAAAAGUGUUACCUGUGGUGACCUUUUCUGGUUGGCUGGGCAGACUGACGGCCUUGUCCAUUUUCUCUUCCCUCGUUUAGAACCGAGCUUUUCUCAACCUGCCUCCCUUCCUCCGGCCAAACGCCGGUGGUUCCCGGCUGCUGCCUCCGACCGCCUCGCGGAGAACUAAGGGUUUAGCUUCUGUCAUUAGCAGCAGCAACAUAGAUAUAGAUACAUAGAUGUUGCCUCGACGGCUGCCGGUUUUUUUAAAUGUAAACACGGGAACUAGUCUUGUCCAACUCCAAUCACUCCGUUUUCAACCUGCUUGAUUUGUUACAACUUCAGGCGCGUUUCAUGUAAAAUUCUAAUAAGAACUGAAAGAAUAAGAAACAAAUGUAGCCAGAUCUAUGUUCUAUUCAUGUCUAUGUUGAAUUAACCUUCUAGGCUUUUGUGCACAAAGAAUUAAAUUCGGUUGCACUCGCUCACAACAUAGACAUUAAACAGAUGUAAACCUCGAAAUGAUAGAAAACAGUUUUGUAUUUUUUAAAAAGUAAAAAUAAGAAACAUAGGUGCAUUUUAGCACAUUAGAAUAUUAAUGAAAAAAUCAUUUAUUUUGAAAUGUGAACGUUAUAUAUCCAUAGAUUACACAUAAACAGACAUAUUUCACAUAUUAGUUAUGUAAAUGUUGAUCAAUCUUAGUCUACCUAAGAUGUAGCAAAAUCCCCAAAUCAGUUUUUUUUUUUUUUUUCUCUUUUACCCGUUAACUUAAUCUGAAUAUGGAAUCAGGAGUGUUGCUGUAACACACGAUGGAUCAGAAGGCUGUGAAAUAAAAUAUUUAAAUUAUAAGAGCGGAA